rnacentral:rRNA from 1 species
AGCAGCCGCGGUAAUUCCAGCUCCAAUAGCGUAUAUUAAAGUUGCUGCAGUUAAAAAGCUCGUAGUUGAAUUUCGGGACUAAUAUGUCGGUCGUGCCUCGGUACGUACUGGUUUAUUGGUUUCUCCUUUCUGAAGAACCAUGAUGUCAUUUAUUUGGUGUCGUGGGGAAUCAGGACUGUUACUUUGAAAAAAUUAGAGUGUUUAAAGCAGGCUCACGCUUGAAUACAUUAGCAUGGAAUAAUGAAAUAGGACGUUUGAUUCUAUUUUGUUGGUUUCUAGAAUCGACGUAAUGAUUAAUAGGGAUAGUUGGGGGCAUUAGUAUUCAAUUGUCAGAGGUGAAAUUCUUGGAUUUAUUGAAGACUAACUACUGCGAAAGCAUUUGCCAAGGAUGUUUUCAUUAAUCAAGAACGAAAGUUAGGGGAUCGAAGGCGAUCAGAUACCGUCGUAGUCUUAACCGUAAACUAUGCCGACUAGGGAUC